rnacentral:rRNA from 1 species
UACGUAGGGGGCAAGCGUUGUCCGGAUUUAUUGGGCGUAAAGAGCGUGUAGGCGGCUAGAUAGGUCCGUUGUGAAAACUCGAGGCUCAACCUCGAGACGUCGAUGGAAACCAUCUGGCUAGAGUCCGGAAGAGGAGAGUGGAAUUCCUGGUGUAGCGGUGAAAUGCGCAGAUAUCAGGAAGAACACCCGUGGCGAAGGCGGCUCUCUGGGACGGUACUGACGCUGAGACGCGAAAAGCGUGGGGGAGCGAACAGG